UGCCAGUGAUAAACUGGAGGAAGGUGGGGAUGACGUCAAGUCAUCAUGGCCCUUACGACCAGGGCUACACACGUGCUACAAUGGCAUAUACAAAGAGAAGCGACCUCGCGAGAGCAAGCGGACCUCAUAAAGUAUGUCGUAGUCCGGAUUGGAGUCUGCAACUCGACUCCAUGAAGUCGGAAUCGCUAGUAAUCGUAGAUCAGAAUGCUACGGUGAAUACGUUCCCGGGCCUUGUACACACCGCCCGUCACACCAUGGGAGUGGGUUGCAAAAGAAGUAGGUAGCUUAACCUUCGGGAGGGCGCUUACCACUUUGUGAUUCAUGACUGGGGUGAAGUCGUAACAAGGUAACCGUAGGGGAACCU
rnacentral:rRNA from 1 species